GACGAACGCUGGCGGCGUGCCUAAUACAUGCAAGUAGAACGCUGAAGAGAGGAGCUUGCUCUUCUUGGAUGAGUUGCGAACGGGUGAGUAACGCGUAGGUAACCUGCCUUGUAGCGGGGGAUAACUAUUGGAAACGAUAGCUAAUACCGCAUAACAAUAGGUGACACAUGUCACUUAUUUGAGAGGGGCAAUUGCUCCACUACAAGAUGGACCUGCGUUGUAUUAGCUAGUAGGUGAGGUAACGGCUCACCUAGGCGACGAUACAUAGCCGACCUGAGAGGGUGAUCGGCCACACUGGGACUGAGACACGGCCCAGACUCCUACGGGAGGCAGCAGUAGGGAAUCUUCGGCAAUGGGGGCAACCCUGACCGAGCAACGCCGCGUGAGUGAAGAAGGUUUUCGGAUCGUAAAGCUCUGUUGUAAGUCAAGAACGAGUGUGAGAGUGGAAAGUUCACACUGUGACGGUAGCUUACCAGAAAGGGACGGCUAACUACGUGCCAGCAGCCGCGGUAAUACGUAGGUCCCGAGCGUUGUCCGGAUUUAUUGGGCGUAAAGCGAGCGCAGGCGGUUUGAUAAGUCUGAAGUUAAGGCUGUGGCUCAACCAUAGUUCGCUUUGGAAACUGUCAAACUUGAGUGCAGAAGGGGAGAGUGGAAUUCCAUGUGUAGCGGUGAAAUGCGUAGAUAUAUGGAGGAACACCGGUGGCGAAAGCGGCUCUCUGGUCUGUAACUGACGCUGAGGCUCGAAAGCGUGGGGAGCGAACAGGAUUAGAUACCCUGGUAGUCCACGCCGUAAACGAUGAGUGCUAGGUGUUGGAUCCUUUCCGGGAUUCAGUGCCGCAGCUAACGCAUUAAGCACUCCGCCUGGGGAGUACGACCGCAAGGUUGAAACUCAAAGGAAUUGACGGGGGCCCGCACAAGCGGUGGAGCAUGUGGUUUAAUUCGAAGCAACGCGAAGAACCUUACCAGGUCUUGACAUCCCGAUGCUAUUUCUAGAGAUAGAAAGUUACUUCGGUACAUCGGUGACAGGUGGUGCAUGGUUGUCGUCAGCUCGUGUCGUGAGAUGUUGGGUUAAGUCCCGCAACGAGCGCAACCCCUAUUGUUAGUUGCCAUCAUUCAGUUGGGCACUCUAGCGAGACUGCCGGUAAUAAACCGGAGGAAGGUGGGGAUGACGUCAAAUCAUCAUGCCCCUUAUGACCUGGGCUACACACGUGCUACAAUGGUUGGUACAACGAGUUGCGAGUCGGUGACGGCAAGCUAAUCUCUUAAAGCCAAUCUCAGUUCGGAUUGUAGGCUGCAACUCGCCUACAUGAAGUCGGAAUCGCUAGUAAUCGCGGAUCAGCACGCCGCGGUGAAUACGUUCCCGGGCCU
rnacentral:rRNA from 1 species